GGGGGAGAAGCUGCUGCGAGUUUGCUGCAGACAGAGGAGAGCUUAAGUUCGACCAGUUAUGUACUGAUGAACAGAACAAUGGACAUAAGGAGCUUCUUUCAAAGACAAAAACUCAGUUCGCAGAAGUCGAGUCUACGGUAGUGCAGAGUCUACACUGUCUGUAGACCGUUACGUCUUUUCAUUGGCCCGGAGUCUACGGUGAACAUAGACACUGUAGACUCAGGUCAAUAGGAGCACCGAAUCCCACUGUAGACGACCAAUCGUCUGGUCAACGGAAGUUGCGUCACCAAAACAACAAAAUGCAGCGGAACAGCGAGGAAGCCGGCAAGUCCACUAUUUUUUAUGGAAACUGACAUUUCUUUUAUGUUUACGUCCUGGUAUGGCGACACCAACGAUUUGGGUAGUUAAUCCAGAUGCCCCUGCACAUCAUCAGCUGGCACUACUUAUGGCAACCAAAGAGCAACAGCUGACAAGUACCCCCAGGUGUGAUCCUUCAUUGUGGCCAGGUGAUGAUGCUGAACUGAUAGCUGCAUCCCAGUCUGUGGAAGAUUCACUGAAGUCCCAACACUCCUUGUCUGCAAGUCAACCUCUAAAGCAACGGCUGACAAGCAGAGGUGCUUCCUCCUCCCAGACGUCUGGAACACAGGAGAACUCAGCUCCCCUGUCCAAGGAGUUUGAGAACACUGUACAGUCACAUCAAAAUAAAGCUACUGUGCAGCCCAAACAUCGUGAGUCCACAGAGACUGCCGUACGGUCCAAAAAACUUGACACCAUUGGACUCACUGAGUCAUCUGCAUCCCAGGGUCAUGAUCAUACAACACAAUUACCGUUGAGUCAUUCACCUGU
ensembl:lncRNA